rnacentral:sRNA from 1 species
UCAGGCACUCGGCUCCACCUCACUGAGUCUCUCAGGCAUGUGCAGGGUCCUAGGAAGCAUAUGAAGUGCAUCAGGGACCCCUCCUGCCCCCGUCCCCAAAGCAGCACUGCCCUCUGCUAGGAACAGCUCUGUGUUGGCCUCUCUGUCCCCACACACUGGGCCUGCAGGGCUUCUCCGAGACUCUUCAGUUCAGGGAUGGUCCUGGCUGUGCUGCUGCACCAGGGCUGCCUUCCCCGCCUUUUCCAGAGGAACCUGUUCUACAGCCAGAAGAACAAGUACCGAGCACCCCGAGGGAAGCCGGCCCCAGCCUCGGGGGACACCCAGACCCCUGCAAAGGGGUCCAGUGUCCGGGAGCCUGGGCGCAGCAGUGUUGAGGGGCCACAUUCCAGCUGAGUGGCCUUGCUCUGUGUGAGCCCCGUGUGAGGGCCCUGCUCGUAGCUGGACCCUGGAACCCUCUGGAGCUAAGAGGGAAUCCCGGCCCCCUCCCCAGAAGCCAUUUGUCAAUAAACCAUUUCUAAGA